GGUUCAGUGGCGUAAUGGUAACGCAUUCCGCAUUCCUAUGUAGUUCGCGGUAUGCUUCACAGAAAGUUCGGAGUUCGAUUCUCCGCUGAGCCA